rnacentral:rRNA from 1 species
AGCAGUCGCCGCGGGAAUACGAAGGGUGCAAGCGUUAAUCGGAAUUACUGGGCGUAAAGCGUGCGUAGGCGGUGAGUUAAGUCUGCUGUGAAAUCCCCGGGCUCAACCUGGGAAUGGCAGUGGAUACUGGCUCGCUAGAGUGUGUCAGAGGAUGGUGGAAUUCCCGGUGUAGCGGUGAAAUGCGUAGAGAUCGGGAGGAACAUCAGUGGCGAAGGCGGCCAUCUGGGACAACACUGACGCUGAGGCACGAAAGCGUGGGGAGCAAACAGGAUUAGAUACCCGCGUAGUCCCUGUCUCUUAUAA